UACGUAGGGACCAAGCGUUGUUCGGAUUUACUGGGCGUAAAGGGCGCGUAGGCGGCAUAUUAAGUCAGCUGUGAAAUCUCCGAGCUUAACUCGGAACUGUCAGCUGAUACUGAUGUGCUAGAGUGCAGAAGGGGCAAUCGGAAUUCUUGGUGUAGCGGUGAAAUGCGUAGAUAUCAAGAGGAACACCCUGAGGUGAAGACGGGUUGCUGGGCUGACACUGACGCUGAUAGCGCGAAAGCCAGGGGAGCAAACGGG
rnacentral:rRNA from 1 species